rnacentral:lncRNA from 1 species
UAUUGCCAUGCUUUUAAUAACAUAUAUAAAAGUAGGCAUGUUUGGCAAUGCAUCGCUUUCACUCAGUCAAUCAACAGUUAAUACGUUCCCCAUGAGUCUUGAGUAGUGCUGGUUAAAGUGUGGAAAUUAAGAAAUUAAGCAAGGCCGUUGGCCAAUAUUAAUUGUAUUUAAUUUUAACACAAUUUCUGAUGCUUCCAUAUAUAUAUAUAUAUAUAUAUACACACACACACACAUACAUGCAAAUGUAACUAUCACAUACAUAAAUCGUAUAUCUUGGAGCACUCCAAUUAUUAACACAUAAAUUCUUUCAAUUCCUGAUCAACACAUCAUUUUUUCAACAAAAUUGGGGGGAAAAAAAGAGAGGUUACGGUCAUAAUAAUGUAUUAUAAAUCGUUUAUUUUCACAAAUAAAAUACUUCAUAACCCUUUAAAUUUACAGAAACAAAGAGAAAGAAACAGCUUUCGGGGGGUGGGGGUGCUUACAACAGAUAAGAUCAGGAUCUUCACUUGGUGAUGGCGUAGAUAGCAUAAAUAAUUCCAGGGAGGUAGCCAAAGAGG